UUAGCAAGUUGUUGUUGCCUGGGGAUAGUUUAAAAAGAGGGUGCUGUGGAUAAGGGUACAAGAGAUUCGUGCCCCAGGCUAUGAUUCCUCAUAUCAACCCAAGGAGGCAGUAGGGAAGAACUGAAGAAAGCAGAGAUGAGCUGACUCCCUCUGUCUUCCAGAAGAUAUCAAGCAGAGGCUGGCCAGAGCUAAGAAGCUGAAUCUGCCCCAGAUUGUCCAGCCUCAGGCAUGAGACAUCCCAUCACAAGGUUCCUCAGCUGGUGAAGGUCAGUUUGGAGAGCUCACCUUAUUUCCAGCUGGUGGGCCCCGAUGAUGUGUGCUGCAAGGUGCCAUCAGGCCUCUCCACGGCCCUUCAUGUCCUCUUCACCCCUGUGCAGAACAAGCCCUUUCUCUGUCAUUCUGGCCAUGGGAACGCUGGGCAUUGGUGACACCAUGCAGGUGACAGUGGGAUUUCAGCCACUGAAGACUGGUGACAAUUCUGCAUCCCUUAUAGUGCAUUGCAGCACAGGUG